rfam:Triticum aestivum genome assembly, contig: Triticum_aestivum_CS42_TGACv1_scaffold_405473_5BL
AUAAUACUCCCUCCGCCCAAAAUUCUGGUCUAGGAUCUGUCUAAAUACGGAUGUAUCAAGUCACGUUUUAGUAUUAGAUACAUCCGUAUGUAGGCAAAUCCAAGACAAGAAUUUUGGGACGGAGGGAGUAUAAA